rnacentral:rRNA from 1 species
UGGCGGGUGCUAUACAUGCAGUCGAGCGGACAGAUGGGAGCUUGCUCCCUGAUGUUAGCGGCGGACGGGUGAGUAACACGUGGGUAACCUGCCUGUAAGACUGGGAUAACUCCGGGAAACCGGGGCUAAUACCGGAUGGUUGUUUGAACCGCAUGGUUCAAACAUAAAAGGUGGCUUCGGCUACCACUUACAGAUGGACCCGCGGCGCAUUAGCUAGUUGGUGAGGUAACGGCUCACCAAGGCAACGAUGCGUAGCCGACCUGAGAGGGUGAUCGGCCACACUGGGACUGAGACACGGCCCAGACUCCUACGGGAGGCAGCAGUAGGGAAUCUUCCGCAAUGGACGAAAGUCUGACGGAGCAACGCCGCGUGAGUGAUGAAGGUUUUCGGAUCGUAAAGCUCUGUUGUUAGGGAAGAACAAGUACCGUUCGAAUAGGGCGGUACCUUGACGGUACCUAACCAGAAAGCCACGGCUAACUACGUGCCAGCAGCCGCGGUAAUACGUAGGUGGCAAGCGUUGUCCGGAAUUAUUGGGCGUAAAGGGCUCGCAGGCGGUUUCUUAAGUCUGAUGUGAAAGCCCCCGGCUCAACCGGGGAGGGUCAUUGGAAACUGGGGAACUUGAGUGCAGAAGAGGAGAGUGGAAUUCCACGUGUAGCGGUGAAAUGCGUAGAGAUGUGGAGGAACACCAGUGGCGAAGGCGACUCUCUGGUCUGUAACUGACGCUGAGGAGCGAAAGCGUGGGGAGCGAACAGGAUUAGAUACCCUGGUAGUCCACGCCGUAAACGAUGAGUGCUAAGUGUUAGGGGGUUUCCGCCCCUUAGUGCUGCAGCUAACGCAUUAAGCACUCCGCCUGGGGAGUACGGUCGCAAGACUGAAACUCAAAGGAAUUGACGGGGGCCCGCACAAGCGGUGGAGCAUGUGGGUUUAAUUCGAAGCAACGCGAAGAACCUUACCAGGUCUUGACAUCCUCUGACAAUCCUAGAGAUAGGACGUCCCCUUCGGGGG